rnacentral:rRNA from 1 species
UCGAGAAUCUUUGGCAAUGGACGAAAGUCUGACCAAGCGACGCCGCGUGCGGGAUGAAGGCCCUCGGGUUGUAAACCGCUGUCAGUAGGGAGGAAGGAAACGUGAAGAGCGUUUUUUGACCGAUCUUCAGAGGAAGGACGGGCUAAGUUCGUGCCAGCAGCCGCGGUAAGACGAACCGUCCAAACGUUAUUCGGUAUCACUGGGCUUAAAGCGUACGUAGGCGGCCUAGAAGGUGAGAUGUGAAAUCCCACGGCUCAACCGUGGAAUUGCGUUUCAAACCACUAGGCUCGAGGAAGACAGGGGUGAUGGGAACUUAUGGUGGAGCGGUGAAAUGCGUUGAUAUCAUAGGGAACACCGGUGGCGAAAGCGCAUCACUGGGUCUUUUCUGACGCUGAGGUACGAAAGCUAGGGUAGCGAACGGGAUUAGAUACCCCCGUAGUCC